UACGUAGGGUGCAGGCGUUGUCCGGAAUUAUUGGGCGUAAAGCGCGUGUAGGCGGCGUGACAAGUCGGGUGUGAAAGCCCUCAGCUCAACUGAGGAAGUGCGCCCGAAACUGUCGUGCUUGAGUGCCGGAGAGGGUGGCGGAAUUCCCCAAGUAGAGGUGAAAUUCGUAGAUAUGGGGAGGAACACCGGUGGCGAAGGCGGCCACCUGGACGGUAACUGACGCUGAGACGCGAAAGCGUGGGGAGCAAACAGG
rnacentral:rRNA from 1 species